CAGCAGCCGCGGUAAUACGAAGGGUGCAAGCGUUAAUCGGAAUUACUGGGCGUAAAGCGUGCGUAGGCGGUUUGUUAAGUCUGUUGUGAAAUCCCCGGGCUCAACCUGGGAAUGGCAAUGGAUACUGGCAAGCUAGAGUGUGUCAGAGGAUGGUGGAAUUCCCGGUGUAGCGGUGAAAUGCGUAGAGAUCGGGAGGAACAUCAGUGGCGAAGGCGGCCAUCUGGGACAACACUGACGCUGAGGCACGAAAGCGUGGGGGGCAAACAGGAUUAGAUACCCGGGUAGUCCCUGUCUCUUAUAC
rnacentral:rRNA from 1 species